GGAGCCAGAAGUGCAGAAAACAGAAGACAAGUGACCUGUUUGUUUUGUUGUCUUCUGCAGGAGAGAAAAUAAACAUUGGAGAAACAGUA